rnacentral:piRNA from 1 species
GCAGAGGAAAUAUUGUCAGAGACUGGUGU